GGAUGAACGCUAGCGGCAGGCUUAACACAUGCAAGUCGAGGGGUAACAGGGAUUGCUUGCAAUCCGCUGACGACCGGCGCACGGGUGCGUAACGCGUAUGCAACCUACCUUCUACAGGGGGAUAGUCAAUAGAAAUGUUGAAUAAUACCCCAUACGAUCUUUGAAUAGCAUUAUUUAAAGAAGAAAGCUCCGGCGGUAGAAGAUGGGCAUGCGUCCUAUUAGUUAGUUGGUAAGGUAACGGCUUACCAAGACUUCGAUAGGUAGGGGUCCUGAGAGGGAGACCCCCCACACUGGUACUGAGACACGGACCAGACUCCUACGGGAGGCAGCAGUGAGGAAUAUUGGACAAUGGAGGCAACUCUGAUCCAGCCAUGCCGCGUGCAGGAAGACUGCCCUAUGGGUUGUAAACUGCUUUUAUACAGGAAGAAAUAUACCUACGUGUAGGUAUUUGACGGUACUGUACGAAUAAGGAUCGGCUAACUCCGUGCCAGCAGCCGCGGUAAUACGGAGGAUCCAAGCGUUAUCCGGAAUCAUUGGGUUUAAAGGGUCCGUAGGCGGUCUUUUAAGUCAGAGGUGAAAUCCUACAGCUCAACUGUAGAAUUGCCUUUGAUACUGAAAGACUUGAGUUAUUGUGAAGUAGUUAGAAUGUGUGGUGUAGCGGUGAAAUGCAUAGAGAUCACACAGAAUACCGAUUGCGAAGGCAGAUUACUAACAAUAUACUGACGCUGAGGGACGAAAGCGUGGGUAGCGAACAGGAUUAGAUACCCUGGUAGUCCACGCCGUAAACGAUGGAUACUAGCUGUUCGACCAACAUUGGUUGGUUGAGUGGCUAAGCGAAAGUGAUAAGUAUCCCACCUGGGGAGUACGGUCGCAAGACUGAAACUCAAAGGAAUUGACGGGGGCCCGCACAAGCGGUGGAGCAUGUGGUUUAAUUCGAUGAUACGCGAGGAACCUUACCAGGACUUAAAUGUAAGUUGCAUGAUUUAGAGAUAGAUCUUUCUUCGGACUACUUACAAGGUGCUGCAUGGUUGUCGUCAGCUCGUGCCGUGAGGUGUCAGGUUAAGUCCUAUAACGAGCGCAACCCCUGUCGUUAGUUGCCAGCAAGUUAAGUUGGGCACUCUAGCGAGACUGCCAGUGCAAACUGUGAGGAAGGUGGGGAUGACGUCAAAUCAUCACGGCCCUUACGUCCUGGGCUACACACGUGCUACAAUGGUCGGUACAGAGAGCAGCCACUACGCGAGUAGGAGCGAAUCUAUAAAACCGAUCUCAGUUCGGAUCGCAGUCUGCAACUCGACUGCGUGAAGCUGGAAUCGCUAGUAAUCGGAUAUCAGCCAUGAUCCGGUGAAUACGUUCCCGGGCCUUGUACUCACCGC
rnacentral:rRNA from 1 species